ACAAGCAAACAAUUGAAAAACAUUCUCUGUUGUUGUUGUUGCAAGAUCUUUCAUUUUAUAAUCUUCCAAUCAGAGAAAACAAAUUACUGCUACAAGGAUAAUUAAUAGUUAGACUUGAAAAAUUGUUACAUAUUUUCAGCUAGGACAGAAACUUGUAUUAACCUAAUUAAUUAGGAUAAUUAAUAAGGAUAAUCUGUGUUCCAGCAGAAGCUCUUCAUUUGAACAAAACAAGUAAUUGGUGAAGUGCAGCAUCCUUCCAGUAACAACACUGUGCGAGUCUAUUCCUUAUACUACCUGGCCACGCUGUGUGCCGCUCUUUCUGCAGGACAGCCUGCAGCAUGGGCAAACCUCAUGUGAGGCUGAAGGGCAACUGGAACACUGAAUGCUCCCAUGUGUACUGGAUGUGUUUUUUUCUGGGAGGAUGGAGGCUGUGAUACUGGGGGCACCUGCCAGCAGAGCUGGCAGAGGAGUCACAAAUGACAAUAGUGACCUAGGAGCUGAUUUAGCAAAUGGCAGAAAACUAGGUGUGGUCUGUGCUGUUAUUCCUGCCCUUUGGAAGUGGAGGGUUAAUUUGCUGGAAAAAGCCUUUCUCAUGCCAAGCAAAGCUGCUGUUAAAACCUGUUAAAAAGGAGGAGACUGGGAGUUCAAGUGCUCAGGCUGGACCUACACGUGGACAAGCUGCUGAACUGCAGAAAACAUUGCUGCCUUGUUACCAAGAAUGUGGUUGGCUUCACGUACCAUCUUUCUUGGAAGCCUAUUGUCCAACUGUGGGAAGAAGAAAGGAAUUUCUUGGGAGUUGCUCCCCAGGGAGAGAUGGAACUAAUCCACCUCCGCUGUUCUUGCAGAGUGUGCUGUUGUGAACAAAACAAGUUCUUGUUUAAACCAGAGACUAAAACAAGUUGCCAGAAGAAGUGUGACAAAGAACAUAUGUGUGUUAACAUUUUUCUUUGCUAGAAGAAAACACACAAGAUCUUUUUCAUUAGUGAAACAAAGUCAGAUUGCCAAGGUGAAAUAAUUCUGUGGGCAGUUCAGAAGCAGACAGCUACAGUUUAUGAAGAUCUUUGCCAACGUUAGAGACUAGAAUUGGAUAUCCAUGGCAGUCACUUUCAAUUCUGUCUCACAGUUGAGAAUAUUGCUUGAAAAAUAGGUAGAUAUUCCAGUCUCCCUCUCCCUCUUCCCUUUCCCACUUCAUUUUUAGUCAGUGUAUGUUUUAGUUACCUUAAUGUUUUGUAAAUGCCUCAAAAACAUAUUUUUUUUGAGUACUAAAUGUAUUACAAGAAAAUCAGCCAAAUUAUCCAGAACGAAAAGUAAAGCUGAAAUUUAAAAUUCUUCACAUAGCCUUAAAAAUCUGCUCACUGAUUUUUUAUUGAGUAUGUUGCUAUAUUGGGGAAUUUGCCUGCCAAAAGGGAUGGUUAAUGUUCUUUGGUUCCAUUUUUUCAGUAAUAGUCUAUAAUUCUAAGAUUGUCUGCAAAUUAACCUUGCAGAUAUCUGAAUUGAAUACAGUCCAUAGUUUGAAGAAUAAAUGUGGUAGGAACCCUUCAAAAUUACAGAUUUUUUGGGGGUACACUUUUUCUUGGUAGGAAUCUGAGUUCUUAAAUAAUGCACAUUAACAUUUUCUAGCUGUCUUUUAGGUUAAAUUGAAACCUGGAAUUGAAACCUUUACUUGUGUUUUUAUGUUCUCUAAACUAUUAGUGAUGUGAGAGAACCAUUAGAUGCUUGAAUGGUUCUUUGCAUUUUUUUUUUUUUAUUUUCAACAUGCAUGUAAAUGUUUAUUUUCACAAAUUAGCAAAAUAUUCCUGAAAUAAAUUAAGGCAUUUAAUGUUGGCCAUGACUUUACCAUUAUUAAUGCAUGUUAUUUGCAUAGGAGCAGUACCAAUGAGCUACAGGCAUGGCCUAUGCUUUAUACAGACUUAGAAAUAGAAAAGUUGACACAUUAUAUAGUCUUUACAAUUAGAAAAGUGAUGAUAGUCAACAGGUCACAAUUACAGUUAGGAAAGUGAUGAUAGUCAACAAAGAGGAAGGAAAAAUGAGAGACUGAUACCAUUUUUACAGUAUGGUGAGCCAUGUCUUCAAAACACCACCUGCUCACCUGGCCGAUGUAUUGUUUUUGAGAAAGCUAGAAGAAAAAGUAGCUUUUCAGAGACAGAUAUGAAAAAGUAGGCUUCUGGUUAUAUUAAGGCAGCUCCUUGAAUCAUGAAGCACAUGAAAACUCCAUUCCAUCUGAAAUUAUUCAUCUGAAAAUUUACUGAGCAGGGAGUUGGUUCCGUUGGCUGUUCUGAGUCUGUCUUGCCAGUGAGUCUUUUCAGUGACCUCUUCCAGCUGAAGGAAAAAAGAUCUUUGACUUUCAUGCAGAGAUGAUGUUUUGUCACUUUAACAGAGGUCUCAGUUACAGUAGUCUUACACUGAAGGCACUCUGUUGAAUUGCACAACAUUAAACAUGGUGAGAACAGGGUGAGAAGAAAAUUAGGUUCUUUCUGACACCAAGUGUGUAGAUGGAACACAUGGACUUUGAUGUGAAGGCCUGACACACAAAAUAGAUCCCUCUAACUUCACUUGAAAAGAAUAUGGUUUUAUGUAAAGUAAAUUUGCCAGCAUUGUGCUAUUUGCAGAUGUGGGAGACAAUAUAUGUCUUAAUAUCAUCAGUGCUUUAAUUACCUCUGUAAGCAUGAUGUAUUGUGGCAUUUCUGGUUGAAGUCCUAAUUAGUCUUCACUAUCUAAUGAGCAUAUGAAGGUUUGGCUUUUUAUCUUAUUCAUUAUUAUGAAUGAUAGGGCAACUGUUUAAAACCUCCAGUUUUACACUGAGACAUGAUUAUUUAUGAAAAGGCCUUGCCCUAGAAAUGGAAAUAAUGAUAAUUAUAUUUAAUCUUUUCAUGGUUUAUGCAUUUUUUUUUGCAGUGAAGCAGAUGCCUAUAGGACACUAAUUACCAAGAGGGGAACUACCAGACAGGCUUAUUUUACUAACGCAUGAACCCAAAUUCACAUAUUUUAUAUAUCCCUGCUACCAUUAAUAUUCUUAAUGUAUGUACUUUUCAUGUGCUUGACUUCAUGUCAUAUGCAUAUGUUAUAAGCACAUUUAUUGCUCAGUUUUAACAGCUUAUGAAGGUUGACAGGAUGACCACAUAAACCUGCCUGUUUAGCACUUCCAAUUGCAGCUGCUGCUGCUGUUUUGCACUGAUAAGGGCAUGGAGACUGCUCAGUACUAAGUAUGCCUCCAAAACAUGUGCAAAGGUAGCACAAAUGCAACUGUUGGGUUUACACCCACCAGUAGCUGGCAACAUUGUGAUGCUUUCUGUGCCUGCCUGAGAAAAUGUGAUUUUAUUUUUUUUGCUAUUUCAUGAUCAUCUGAUUUAUCUAUUGCUGAAAUGGACUUGAAAAAAAUGCAAACUGCUUUGUGGGACAUGGCUAUCUUUUUGAAGAAGACGUUUUUAUAGUUUGUGAAGUUUAAAUAAAGUUUUAACCAAGUUGA